rnacentral:rRNA from 1 species
AUUGAACGCUGGCGGCAGGCCUAACACAUGCAAGUCGAACGAGUGGCGGACGGGUGAGUAAUGUCUGGGAAACUGCCUGAUGGAGGGGGAUAACUACGGGAAACGGUAGCUAAUACCGCAUACCAUCGGAUGUGCCCAGAUGGGAUUAGCUAGUAGGUGGGGUAAAGGCUAACCUAGGCGACGAUCCCUAGCUGGUCUGAGAGGAUGACCAGCAACACGGGAGCGGAGACGCGUGCCAGACUCCUACGGGAGGCACGCGUGGGGAAUAUUGGACAAGGGGCGCAUGCGUGAUGCAGACAUGCCGAGUGUAGGAAGAAGGCCAUCGGGUCGUGAAGUACGUGCAUCGUGGAGGCGUUACCCGCAGAAGAAGCACCGGCUAACUCCGUGCCAGCAGCCGCGGUAAUUC